GACCAGGUACCCCUCACUGCCUCUAGACCAGGUACCCCUCACUGCCUCCCUCCCCUCCAGACCAGGUACCCCUCACUGCCUCCCUCCCCUCCAGACCAGGUACCCCUCACUGCCUCACUGCCUCUAGACCAGGUACCCCUCACUGCCUCUAGACCAGGUACCCCUCACUGCCUCUAGACCAGGUACCCCUCACUGCCUCUAGACCAGGUACCCCUCACUGCCUCCCUCCCCUCCAGACCAGGUACCCCUCACUGCCUCUAGACCAGGUACCCCUCACUGCCUCUAGACCAGGUACCCCUCACUGCCUCUAGACCAGGUACCCCUCACUGCCUCUAGACCAGGUACCCCUCCCUACCUCUAGACCAGGUACCCCUCACUGCCUCCCUACUACCCUCCACACACUUGCUGUACAGCCUGACCUGAGUGGUACGGUCCUGACCAACCUGUGUGUGUGUGUGUGUGUGUGUGUGUGUGUGUGUGUGUGUGUGUGUGUGUGUGUGUGUGUGUGUGUGUGUGUGUGUGUGUGUGUGUGUGUGUGUGUGUGUGUGUGUGUGUGUGUGUGUGUGUGUGUGUGUGU